rnacentral:rRNA from 1 species
UAAGUGAAUAGUGAAAGCUGGAGGCUCAACCUUACAGACUAUUAUUCAAACUGGCAAACUCGAGAAUGGUAGAGGUAACUGGAAUUUCUUGUGUAGGAGUGAAAUCCGUAGAUAUAAGAAGGAACACCAGUGGCGUAGGCAGGUUACUGGACCAUUUCUGACACUGAGGCACGAAAGCGUGGGGAGCGAACGGGAUUAGAUACCCCGGUAGUCCACGCCGUAAACGAUGGAUACUA